rnacentral:rRNA from 1 species
UGGGGAAUAUUGCACAAUGGGCGCAAGCCUGAUGCAGCCAUGCCGCGUGUGUGAAGAAGGCCUUCGGGUUGUAAAGCACUUUCAGCGAGGAGGAAGGUGGUGAGCUUAAUACGCUCAUCAAUUGACGUUACUCGCAGAAGAAGCACCGGCUAACUCCGUGCCAGCAGCCGCGGUAAUACGGAGGGUGCAAGCGUUAAUCGGAAUUACUGGGCGUAAAGCGCACGCAGGCGGUUUGUUAAGUCAGAUGUGAAAUCCCCGGGCUCAACCUGGGAACUGCAUUUGAAACUGGCAAGCUAGAGUCUCGUAGAGGGGGGCUAGAAUUCCAGGUGUAGCGGUGAAAUGCGUAGAGAUCUGGAGGAAUACCGGUGGCGAAGGCGGCCCCCCUGGACGAAGACUGACGCUCAGGUGCGAAAGCGUGGGGCAGCAAACAGGAUUAGAUACCCUGGUAGUCCAGCGCUGUAAAACGAUGUCGAUUUGGAGGUUGUGCCCUUGAGGCGUGGCUUCCGGAGCUAACGCGUU